rnacentral:misc_RNA from 1 species
UUAAUGAGGUUUGCAAUAUUUUCAUUCAAGAUGUGAUGACAUUUACCAAGACUAUCCUUUUCUUGGGCUAACUUAUAUUUUCCAUAUAUUUCAGCAUGUGUUCAAGAUGGAACAGGAGGAGUACAGAAAAGAAGAAAUUAAUUGGAGCUACAUUGAAUUUAUAGACAACCAGGAUGUUUUAGAACUAAUUGAGAAGGUUCUUCUGAUCUGUUUCCCUUUCUAAGAAAUGUGAUAUAGUCUGGCCUAUUUGGUAUUCAUGGAAUUAUUUUAAGCCAUUCUGCUAAGUACUUUCCCAUUUCUUUCUAAAUUCGGUAUCUAUCUGGUCUGUGUUUCCUUUUAGUGUUACACAUUCUAUUAUGUAUUCGUUCAAAUUGUUAUUGCUAAGUACUCAUUAUUGUGAUUUAGCAUGGUUCAAAUUCUUAUGUUUUUAGAUAUAGUUUUUAGCUCAAAUAUACAGUAUGCAUUUACAUGUAGGAGAUACAAUAUUGUGAUUUCAAAAUUUAGCAUUUGGCUUGACGGCAACCAACUGUAACUUUGUAAAGAUGCUUCUGUUUUAUAAUCCCAUGAUUGUAAAGGCAUCUUUCUUGUUCAUUUUUUAGAGUUCUCUCUUCUGCUUUUCUUGUUUCUAAGUGUGGCAUCAAGUUCUAUUACUGUUGCGCCUUAUGUCAGCAUGCACUUGUUUGCAGAAACCUAUUGGGAUAAUUGCUCUCUUGGACGAAGCUUGCUUGUUCCCAAAAUCAACACAUGCAACACUUUCAACCAAACUAUUCCAGAAUUUCCGUGCUCACCCAAGGCUGGAAAAGGCAAAAUUUUCAGAAACAGAUUUUACUGUUUCUCAUUAUGCUGGCAAGGUCACCUAUCAAACAGACACGUUUUUAGAUAAAAAUCGUGAUUAUGUUGUGGUAGAACAUUGCAAUCUGCUAUCUUCUUCCAAAUGCCCCUUUGUCGCUGGUCUUUUCCAUUCACCUCCUGAGGAAUCUUCACGAUCUUCUUAUAAGUUUUCUUCUGUGGCCUCUAGAUUUAAGCAACAACUUCAAGCACUUAUGGAAACCCUCAACUCAACUGAGCCUCAUUAUAUACGUUGUGUGAAGCCAAACUCUUUUAAUCGACCUCAGAAAUUUGAGAAUACAAGCAUAUUACAUCAACUACGCUGUGGGGGUGUUCUGGAGGCUGUUCGGAUAAGUCUCGCUGGUUAUCCCACUCGAAGAACAUAUUCAGAGUUUGUUGAUCGUUUUGGAUUAUUAGCUCCUGAAUAUAUGGAUGGAAGGUGGAGCUUUUUAUGAGUGAUAUCCCAAAAAUUCUGUCCAAUUAAGAAUUAGUUGCUUGUUUCUAUCCCCUUCAUAUGAAAAUGAAAGUUAUUGUUGUGAAUGCUACAUGCAUAGAUUCUUAGUUGCUAUGAUAUUUUUAAUUAUCAUUUUUUUGCAACAAUGCCAUAUAGAUAAUGGCUAAAAAUUAAUAUUCCUAGGAUGAUUGCUAGUUUGUACGCACGAAGUGCACAUGCAUCUUAGUGUGCUUGUAUCUUUUGAGUUAGUUUGUGUUUUUGUUGUCUUGGUGUUUUCACUUUCCUUGUGUCUUCAUUUUUAGUUGGUUAGUUUGUUUUACUAGUUAUUACAUUUCAGGCUUGCUGAGAAAUUCUGCUUCUUUUGUUAUAUGUAUAAAUGCACACAGUUGUAGUUAUGAUGAAAAAGCUUGGACAGAGAAAAUUCUGCAAGAGUUAAAGCUUGAGAAUUUCCAGUUGGGUAGGACCAAAGUGUUUCUCAGGGCUGGUCAGAUUGGGGUUUUAGAUUCAAGACGGGCUGAGGUUCUGGAUAAUGCUGCAAAGUGCAUCCAGCGUCGUUUGCGAACAUUUAUAGCACGUCUGAACUUUAUUUCAAUGAAGGCUGCUGCGAUUGCUGUCCAGGCAUUCUGCAGAGGAUGCCUUGCUCGAAAUAUAUAUGUUGAAAAACGGGAGACAGCAGCUGCCAUUUCAAUACAAAAAUAUGUCCGCAAGUGGUUGCUAAGACGUGCUUAUUCGAAACUGUUUUCAGCAGCUAUUAUUGUACAGUCAAGUAUUCGUGGUUUCUUAACUAGGCAAAGAUUUUUACAUGGAAAGAAGCACAGAGCUGCUGUUAUAAUUCAGGCUUGGUGGAGAAUGUGCAUGUUCCGCUCAGCUAUCCGGCAUCAUCAGACUUCAAUCAUAGCAAUACAAUGUCGCUGGAGACAAAAGCUGGCAAAAAGAGAGUUCCGUAGGCUUAAACAAGAGGCUAAUGAAGCAGGUGCCUUGCGUCUAGCUAAGAAUAAACUUGAGAAGCAGUUGGAUGAUCUCACUUGGCGACUGAAUCUCGAAAAAAGAUUACGGAUUUCUAAUGAAGAAGCAAAGUCAAGUGAAAUUUCCAAGCUUCAAAAGAUGUUGGAAUCUUUAACUCUUGAGCUGGAUGCAGCUAAGUUGGCUACAAUUAAUGAAUGCAACAAGAAUGCAGUGUUGCUCAAUCAGUUGGAACUAUCAAUGAAGGAAAAGUCAGCUUUAGAGACAGAACUCAUUACAAUUGCUGAGUUGAGGAAAGAAAAUGCUGUACUAAAGGAUUCCUUGGAUUCCUUGGAAAAGAAGAACUCAGUUCUGGAGCAUGAUCUUAAUGAGGCUCAAAAGGAUAGUAGUAAUACUAUCAAAAAGUUGAUGGAAACUGAAGAGAAGUGUUCUCAGCUGCAACAGAAUGUCCAAAGUCUUGAGGAGAAGCUCUCACGUCUAGAAGAUGAGAAUCAUGUCCUUCGACAAAAAGCACUGAGUGUGACUCCUAAGAGCAAUCGUUCAGCUUUGAUGAAAGCAUUUUCUGAAAAAUACUCUGGGGUGCUUGCUCUUGCUCAAACUGACCAGAAGCCUAAAUUUGAGUCUCCCACACCUUCAAAACUUAUACCUUUUGCAUAUGGUUUAUCAGAAUCACGCCAACCAAAGUUAACAGCAGAAAGACACCAGGAGAACUAUGAAUUCCUCUCAAGGUGCAUUAAGGAAGACAUUGGAUUCACAGAUGGUAAACCACUGGCAGCUUGUAUUAUGUACAGAUGUCUUCUUCACUGGCAUGCUUUUGAAUCUGAGCGAACAGUUAUUUUUGACUAUAUAAUUGAGGGAAUAAAUGAAGUUCUGAAGGUUGGAGAUGAGAACCUUACCUUGCCAUAUUGGCUGUCUAAUGCCUCAGCACUUCUAUGCCUACUCCAGAGGAAUUUACGAUCAAAUGGGUUUUUGAAUGCUGCUAGUCAAUUUUCUGCACCUUCUGGGUUGCCAGGAAGGGUUGUGCAUGGUCUGAAAUCUCCAUUCAAAUAUAUUGGAUUUGAGGAUGGUCUGUCACAUGUGGAAGCUAGAUAUCCGGCCAUACUGUUUAAACAACAAUUAACUGCUUGUGUAGAGAAGAUUUUUGGCUUGAUUAGAGACAAUUUGAAGAAGGAGUUAUCACCUUUGUUGGGUUUAUGCAUUCAGGCUCCAAAAUCUUCAAGGCAUACUGGAAAAGCAUCUAGAUCACCUGGUGGCAUUCCUCAACAAGCACAUAACAGUCAUUGGGAGAGCAUCAUCAAAUUUUUGGAUUCUCUUAUGGGUCGUUUGCGUGAGAAUUAUGUACCAUCAUUUUUCAUCCGUAAACUCAUCACCCAGGUUUUCUCUUUCAUCAAUAUAUCACUUUUCAAUAGCCUUCUGCUGCGACGUGAAUGUUGCACAUUUUCAAAUGGGGAAUAUGUGAAAUCUGGUCUAGCGGAACUUGAGAAAUGGAUAGUUGGUGCAACGGAGGAGUAUGCAGGAACAUCAUGGCAUGAGCUAAAUUAUAUUAGACAAGCUGUUGGGUUUCUGGUGAUACAUCAGAAGAGGAAAAAGUCUCUUGAAGAGAUUAUGCAAGAUCUUUGUCCAGCGCUGACUGUUCGGCAAAUAUAUCGAAUAAGUACCAUGUAUUGGGAUGAUAAAUAUGGUACUCAGAGUGUGUCAAAUGAGGUGGUUGCUCAAAUGAGGGAAAUGUUAAAUAAGGACAACCAGAAUUUGACAUCCAACUCUUUCUUGUUGGAUGAUGAUCUGAGCAUUCCAUUCUCUACUGAGGAUAUAGACAUGGCAAUUCCUGCAAUAGAUCCUUCUGAUGUUGAACUACCAAAGUUCUUGUCAGAAUAUCCUUGUGCUCAGUUUCUGGUGCUGCAUCAAAAGAAUCCAGUCUGAUGUAGGACACCUUUUGCAGUGGCGAUCAGAAACAUAGAUUGACCUCAUAGUUCAUCAGCUGCACAUUUGGUAGUGGAAAAUUUCUUUAGCAUUAUAUUGGGGUUUGGUAUUGGCAUUCCCCUUCAAUUAUUUUGUAGGUUUAACCAGCAUUAUGCAAUUGGUUAUAGGUGUUGAUGCUUCUACUUUUGUGAAGCUCAUUCUUUGUACAUGUUAUUACUUUUUUUUAAAUUGAAUUUGUAGUGCCAUGGUGAAUUAUCACUAGUUGGUGCUUUGUAUAUAGAAACGUGCGGUGUCAGAACUGAUUGAUAAUAUAGAUGUUUCGAAGUAAUGUACAUUGAAUUUUCUUAUUCAAGGCACCUACUUGUGUCUUUGGAAAUUGCAUCACUUAA